rnacentral:rRNA from 1 species
UGAACGCUAGCGAUAGGCUUAACACAUGCAAGUCGAGGGGCAGCAUGGUCUUAGCUUGCUCCGACUGAUGGCGACCGGCGCACGGGUGCGUAACGCGUAUGCAACUUGCCUCACAGAGGGGGAUAACCCGUCGAAAGACGGACUAAUACCGCGUACACUCCAUCUUGGGCAUCCAAGGUAGAGGAAAUGAAAUUCGCUGUGAGAUAGGCAUGCGUCCCAUUAGCUAGUUGGUGAGGUAACGGCUCACCAAGGCGACGAUGGGUAGGGGAACUGAGAGGUUGAACCCCCACACUGGUACUGAGACACGGACCAGACUCCUACGGGAGGCAGCAGUGAGGAAUAUUGGUCAAUGGGCGAGAGCCUGAACCAGCCAAGUCGCGUGAAGGAUGACUGUCUUAUGGAUUGUAAACUUCUUUUAUACGGGAAUAACAAGAGUCACGUGUGACUCCCUGCAUGUACCGUAUGAAUAAGCAUCGGCUAACUCCGUG